UUAGUUCCACCCUUGACUCCAUCCCUUACCCAAACCCCUCCUUUGUUUUGAAGCUCUCAUCUCCGUAUCCAAGGAAAACUGAGCUUCAAAGAAUCAAAAUCACGGGUAGGUAAGGGAGAUAAAGGUAAAAGAUAGAGAAGCCAUUGCAGAACAAAAGGAGAAUAAGGAGUGCGAAACCAUGAAUCUGGACUAUUUCCAAAGUAUUGAAACAAAAACUCUUCACAUGUCCAAACAACUCUCUUUCCACUUGACUUUACCAUGGAGUCACAUAAUUCUAAAAAGAUUCAGCUCAAACUUGGAAAUAACCUCACCAAUAAACAAAGAAAAUUUUACCUUCUUUCUUAGUUUAGCCUAUUUUAUAUCCCUAAUCCCUUUUGUCAAUUUCUAUUUUCUUUAAUAAAUAAAUACUGGACCACUUGCCCCCUUUACCUUGCCUUUUAAGCACACUACUCUGUCCUCAUUAAUUUUCCUUUCAUCUUCGCUUCAAACCUGCUCUCUCUUUCUCAAUCAGCUAGCAAGCUCACAUCCAUGCCCAAAGAGUAUGCCUAAAUGUCCAGAGAAAGUGCAUUAUGAGCUCAAAUGACAAUUUGGGAUGAACUAACUGUAGUCAACAGGGCCAUUGAGCGCCACAAAAGAUUGCAAGGGGAUGGACGUUUUUGAGCGAGUGUGCGUCCAUGUGUUUUUAUUUAAGUUUUUGAAUAAAAGUUUGUGCUUUUAGCAACAAAGGGGAUUUGAGGUGUUUCUAGGUGCAAUUGGUUGGAACUACUUGCAGAUGGGUUUGGGGAGGAAAAUAGACCCAAAGCCAGGCAAGUGCAGAAGAACAAAUGAGAAAAAAUGGAGGUGCUCGAAAGAGGCAUUCCCAUAUUCCAAGUAUUGCGAGAGACACGUGCACCGAGGGAAAAACCAUUCAAGAAGGCCUGUGUUUUGCUAUUUACAUAUUUAAUCACCUGUUUGGCAGUGUAUUGUGCUAAUUCUCCUUUUUCUUACGUGUUUGAUGCUGGUUGGAGGGCUGUUUUUCUCCUUUAAACAACAGGACUGUCACGAA